rnacentral:rRNA from 1 species
GAGAGCCAUAACACAGGUGCUGCAUGGCUGUCGUCAGCUCGUGUCGUGAGAUGUUGGGUUAAGUCCCGCAACGAGCGCAACCCUUGUCAUUAGUUGCUACAUUCAGUUGGGCACUCUAAUGAGACUGCCGGUGACAAACCGGAGGAAGGUGGGGAUGACGUCAAGUCCUCAUGGCCCUUAUAGGUGGGGCUACACACGUCAUACAAUGGCCGGUACAAAGGGUCGCAAACCCGCGAGGGGGAGCCAAUCCAUCAAAGCCGGUCGUAGUCCGGAUCGCAGUCUGCAACUCGACUGCGUGAAGUCGGAAUCGCUAGUAAUCGUGGAUCAGCAUGUCACGGUGAAUACGUUCCCGGGUCUU